UUAAAAUCAGCUGAUGAACUAUUUUUGAUGCUUUCAGUAGAAAUUUUCUUUCAAAUUUCAAUAUAAUGCAAGAUGCGUUUGAAGAUAAUGUGAGGAAAUUGCGCACAUUAAAACAAGUUAAUGGUAUAUUAAUAUGUACUACACAAGGUCAUUUAAUCAAAAGCACAUUUGAUAGGCCUGCAUCUUUAUCAUAUGGCAAAAAAAUCUACAAUAUAAUAAAUGAAACAAAUAAAAUAAUGAAUCAAGCUGAUGGCAUUUCUGAUUUUAAAUUUAAUCGAAUUUCAUCAAAUAAUACAGAAUUUUUGAUAAUGAAUGAUAAAGAAUAUAUAAUGGCAGUAAUUUAUGACAAAAAUAAGAAAUAAUUAUAGAAUAUAUAUAUAAAUGAUGCAUAUCCAC